UGGGCUACCCCAGGCUGGCCUGUAACUUGUGGUGAUCCUCCUGCCUCUGCCUCCUGAGUGCUCGGUGUCAGUUUGAGGAAGAAACAUUUGGAUCACCAUAGUUCCGGGUGUGCGUGACACCAGCCAGUCUUGUCACCUGAACGGAAGAAAGGGGAAACAAAAAGGCAGCCUGGCUACUGUUUCUUUGGAGGAGCUCCAGGCUUCACCCUCAGCUUGGACAUCACAGUCCCUUUGGCCUCCUGAUGCAGACUCUCCUGGGACACUGCGACGGCGACGUCUCAGAGAGGAAGGACGGCCACCUGAACUAGCACCCAAGGCAGCAAGUCCCGGUGACUGAAGCCCAGUCCUCCACAGAUGCCCCCACCCUGUUGGACAGCUCCUAUCAGCCUUGGUUCAGUGACCUUCAGAGGUACUAGAUCGUUCCUCCAUGUCCUCAAAUCCUCAGGACCAUUUGAGAUUGAUGACGCAGGUGGGCCUUCUCCAAAG